CCUACGGGAGGCAGCAGUCGAGAAUAAUUCGCAAUGGGCGAAAGCCUGACGAUGCGACGCCGUGUGAAUGAAGAAGGCCUUCGGGUCGUAAAGUUCUGUCGCCUGUGAGCAAGUGUGCUGAUCGAAUAGAGAGGCAUAUUGAGAGUAACAGGAAAGGAAGCACCGGCUAACUCCGUGCCAGCAGCUGCGGUAAUACGGAGGGUGCAAGCGUUAGUCGGAAUUACUGGGCGUAAAGGGUGCGUAGGCGGAUAUAUAAGUCAGUUGUGAAAUUCCGGGGCUCAACUUCGGAGCUGCAACUGAAACUGUGAAUCUAGAGGAAUGGCGGAGAAAACGGAAUUCCACAUGUAGCGGUGAAAUGCGUAGAUAUGUGGAAGAACACCUGUGGCGAAGGCGGCUUUCUGGUCUAUCUCUGACGCUGAGGAGCGAAAGCUAGGGGAGCAAACGGGAUUAGAUACCCCGGUAGUCC
rnacentral:rRNA from 1 species